ACAUUUAGGUAAUUUCUUUUUUAUUUAUUAUCUCGGAACUUUGCACUCAUCGAAAUCGAUUUAAAAAUCGAUUCCAAUGCAAAAUUGAACGCUCUUUCGACUGGUGCAGGUCAUUUUACUGUACGUUAAGCCGUUUUCGAGAUAUAAGCAAAAUUAAUUUUUGCACACUGUUUUCGCAUAGAACCCGUUGACCUAGGAAGCUGCAAAUUUCAGAAUCGUCUUUUUCGACCUCGAUUUACCUAAUAACCAAAAUGCAGCCAUUUCUAUCGCAUUUCGAUUUCAAGGCUAAUUUUACUGGACUACGUGAGUCAUGUUACUUGUCAGCAUUAGCGCUUACUGUGAUCUGUGAUUGACCGAUACCUAGCAUUGUUACUGUCACGUGGAAGUGAUUUGACUCGUUUGACUAUAUCUGCAGCGUUGUACACAAGUUUUCCUGAUACAUGCGCAUCACGGAGCCGUUGAACUAUAUCGAUCCAAUUUGAUAGAGAAAACCAUAAGUAUGAGGAAAAGUACGUUGACAAUUUUAAGUUUGAAAUAAACAUUGAGAUACGUUAAUAAAUCUAAUGCACGUGAUCGCUAGUCAAGCAUGUCAAGAUUUUGCUGUCUGGAGUACCUGCGGUUGAACACAAUAUAAAUUGUAUCAUCUGCAAUCAGUAUUAAUGUAGGUAUAUUAUCACGCGCGCAUAAAAUUGCGUUCAUCAAUUACAUUUCCCGCGAUCUUUACAUAACUAAUAUCUCGAAAAUAAAAACGAUGAAAAACUCGAGAUGAUUAAUUUACUGAAAAAUUCGAGAAUGGUUGACAUAGAAGAGCAACUUGACAUUAUUGCGAGAUGUUGCCUCACAUAGAGAAACGACAAUUCUACAUUUCUAAGUAUAGUUUAGAGCAUAAAUACUUUCAAAUAAAUUUUCUGCAAAACUGACGAGAAAUAAGGAUGAAAACAGUUCCUUCUUUUAAAUUGACUUUAUUAGUAAGAUAAUAUUGUUAAUAUAUGCACACGUCUAGUGAAACUUCUUAUCAAAGGCACAGAAAAUUGAUCUUCAUUAUUAUAUGAUUAUUAUAGAUUGCAACUUGCUUUUUUCAAGGAAAACAAUUUCGAUUACAGACUAUGGCUAAAAUAGCUUUUAAUAUUACUUGAUGAAUUACAAACUGAUUUGCAGGUUUAUGUAUGCAAAUGCUUUACAAAUAUUUGCCAUAUAAAAUAGCAAACUAGUGUUUUUACUUAUAUGCUACUAAUUAAUGAAUGGGAUGUGCAAAAAUUGUUAAACCUUUAGUAGGGAUUUAGCAGAAGAAGACAUUAUUAUUAACAAUUUCAAACACUAAUAUUUACAUGUAAUACAACUACGUAAAAUAUAAUUCUAGUUCGGCUUUUCUUGCGUUCAAUGCAAAGUUCUGUACAUUGAUUGCAUCUAGCUCUACAAUCUAUUUAUAAAAAAAAUUAAUCAUUGUUAAUGUCUAGGUGAGGAUCAAUAAUUUACAAAGCUUAAAAAAUGUUUAUAAACAAAAAGUCAAAGGCGACUUUAUUUUUCUAUAUUUACACGGUUAAUUAUUUUAUUUUGCAUAAAAAUUAUGCUGCUCCGUUUUUUUGCCGUUAUUAAACAGUUACAAUUUUGUUAUGAAAUCUAACUAAUGUAUGAGAAAUCAAAUGACCGAUAAAGAAUCAAUAAUAGCAACAAACAAAAUACAAGGCUUGUAUUGACGUAU